rfam:Pseudomonas putida strain TASWS0946 Contig184, whole genome shotgun sequence.
GCGAGCCUCUUGUGUAUUUAUUGUGCUGUGGUAGUGUCGAGGUUGAUCGGCCUGGCCGAAAAACAUGCAAACCCCGCCCUUGGGCGGGGUUUUGCUUUAUA